UUUGAGAAACCCGAGUCUAGGUCCGGGGAUCAGGUUACUUAUUGGGAAGGUACCUCUAGGAGGUAGCACCCCUCUAAGCCCUAAAAAGGUCUCUACUAACAAAGUUAAGGGAAGUGUGGCAAUUAAUCCAUUAAUUAUAGAUACCUACAUAGGCUAGGUGAUUUUAGAGAGUGGCAUGCCAAACACAAUCAAAUUGCGAUAAAGGAGAGUUAAGGUGCGUACCUGAACCGCUCUUCAAGUGCUAUCAUAAAAC
rnacentral:lncRNA from 1 species